UACGAAGGGUGCAAGCGUUACUCGGAAUUACUGGGCGUAAAGCGUGCGUAGGUGGUUUGUUAAGUCUGAUGUGAAAGCCCUGGGCUCAACCUGGGAACGGCAUUGGAAACUGGCUUACUAGAGUGCGGUAGAGGGGUGUGGAAUUCCCGGUGUAGCAGUGAAAUGCGUAGAUAUCGGGAGGAACAUCUGUGGCGAAGGCGGCAUCCUGGACCGGUAUUGACGCUGAGGAGCGAAAGCCAGGGGAGCAAACGGG
rnacentral:rRNA from 1 species